CCAUGUUGGACAAUGGACAUCCCUCCAGGUGUCUCGUGCGGUUUAGUCACAAUAUAUGCGUUGGGAAUGGAAAUGGAAGGUUGAAUUUUAGAUACAGACUGUUCGGAAAUCACGAAAUCGGUUAAAAGAAAGAUAAUCUCAGCUAGAAACCAAAAGAAGAGAAGGAAUACGGGUUUAUCAGAUUGCCAACUGAAAUAUUUCAUAUAAAUUAUUAUUAUCCUAAAUUUACUUGAUGCUUUUCCAAAUUCCGUUCCAAUUUUCAAUACAAUAAGACAUUUCCUAUCUGUUCUUAUACAUGCGGUUGAAGGCAUUCAUUUUGUGGAUUUUCAAUGGGGUGCCUCUAGUAGUAGUUAGCUUAGGUGAGGAUAACUUAAUAGACCCAGAUAAAUAUGUAAAUAUAAAUAAUACCAACAAAUUAGUACAGCAACAAAUGGAAACCAGAACUAAGUCCUUGGAUGCAUCGGUCAUCUGUUCACCUGUCGGGUGUUUCAUGCUAUUGGAAGCAGCUUUUUAUUGAUGUUUAUAUGAAAAAGAGGAGAAAACAAGACAUCUAAAACUAUUAAUGGAAACAACCAAAGGACAAACUACAUUCAAGUCGUAGUAAUUCAUUUAAGCGUAAUAUUUAUAUCAAAUCUAUGAUGAUGAUGUAAUUUUAUCUCAGUAACUGGAGUGCUGUUCCAUGUUAUGUAUUAAACGCAUGUAACUAUAUAACCUUACAAACAGAACAGAACCUAAACAAUUUUAUGAAACCGUCACAUCAUCUGACCUCAUGUCGGAGCGUCGUGGUCAGCAACGAAGCGUCGAGAGCGGACUAUCUGCUUCCACCGGUUUCUGUCCAGCGCUUCUCUUAUGACCGUGCACAGUUUUGAGGAUGAUGAGUCUCACUUGACCGGUCCAUCCGGUUGGUGAACGGCCACGUGGUCUUUUGUCUUCUGUGUUACCGACCACAAUCAGUCUCGGUUCCCCGUUGAGAUGCGAUUAUAUUUUUAAGAAUACUUUUUUGUUGCUCUUUGCACGAUCUAAAAUAAGGUCUUAUAGAUUUUUCACGUAUCGUUCAUCGUUAUCGAGAUUUAUAAUUUGGGGAGAAGAAAUUGUUUUUAGCUCGAAACUUCUAGAGCGUGUUCAGACCUACAAAUUCGUUUUUAUGACUGUAAUAUCGCAUCACUUUCUUCAUAUGGAAUUUCAACAAAAAUAACGUUCAUAAAAUACGUCAUACUAAAAUCAGCUUUUUUUGAGCCCCCCUCUCCCUAUCGCAUGUCAAGCUGUGUCGCACCUUUUUUUUAUUUUCGCGAAAAAUUACGUCCUCUAGCGCGCCGCAAAGUCAGUAAGACCCUACCCGGUUUCGAUUUAGCCGCUCGCACGGUUGUAUCCACACGUAAAAAUGGAUGAAUGGUUUUUCAGGGAAUUAUUGCUAAUACAAAAUAAAUUAAUAAACCAGCCAAAUUAUUAAUCAAACACAUGAAAUUUAUUAAUCAAAUAAUUGUUAUGCAGCAAAAAUAAUACAUAAUUACACAUGGUCAUUUUUUUCACACUUUUUCGUCGUUUUGAUGGUCCUGGCUGUUGAAGUUCCUCUUCGGUACACUCUUCGAGUCGUGAAAAUUCUCAAUCGAAGGAAAUGAUGAUGUGACGGCCGAAAAAUCGUAAUCUUCAUCAUCGUGAUCGUCGUUGAAUAAGAUCUCGACUUUGGCGACAUUGUCGCAUGUCUGUCCACUACAGUGCAGGCCAAUAACCGAGCAACUUAUUCCUGCAGCCCCACACUUUCCUUUACAUUUGCACGAAAUGAGUUUCAAAAGUUCAGGUGGAGCGGGUGCGGCUGUGUGCAAAUUGGUUCAAGCCCGUAAUUCGUCUGUCGCCAACCCCAUUCCUGUAUUAUAUUCCAUAUAUAUGUAUAAAAUAAGGUCCCGCACCACAAGAGUCGGGGGGGAUAUUGGGAAAUUUAUAUAAUAAAAAAAAAACCCCAUACCUGAGGAUCUUUAAAAAUUCCGAGCCACGUUUGUAAAUAUGUCCGGAAAACGUGUUGGCGGACUGCGCUUUCCGUUGGUGGGAGCAGUGAAAGAUUAUUCAUCUUAUUUGUUGUCAUUGAUUUUACAAGGUGUUGGAAUCAAAAAAUCCCUCGUUGUGUCCUCUUUCCGACCACCGUACAGAGCGAUAACGAAGAGCUUUCCUGCGCAAGCUCAGUAUUUUUUCACUCAGAGCUCGCAUAUCUUGCAGGUAUAAAUGAGCAGACUUCGCAUACAGGAAGUGGCCGCUGGCAUGAAAGAAAGGAAGCAUUUUUUGUAUUUGUCUUUAAUCAGAUGGUAAUUUCUAGGCAUAUCAGUUGUUCUCUGAUAUUUAAUCUUAUUCUCCAGGGGUAAGAGUGGGGUUCUGAACUCAUUCAACUGACCUUUAAGAUCUCACCAUACGGAUAUCGCAUCGCUUUCUUCAUAUGGAAUUUCAACAAGUGGCCGUUCAUAAAAUACGUCACACUAAAAUCAGCUUUUUUUGAGCCCCCCCCCCCCCCCAUCGCACGUCACGCUGUGUCGCACUUUCUGUGACCCCCCCUAAAAAUAUUUGGUCACAAAAACUAAGACCCCCCCUGCUGAGUAUGAUAAAUUCUAAAAAAUAAAAUUGAAAAUAAAAAAGAUUUAUUUAGUUAUAAUAAAAUUAAAAUAAAUUAAUAAAUAUCUUUCAUAACGAACAUAUAAAUAAUAAAUAAUAUUUCUAUUAUUCCAAGGAUUUUCUAAAUGGGCCGAAAUAUCUACAAUCGGUAUUGCACCAUCUUCUUCUUCAUCAAAACUACCGUCCACUUCAUCGACAUCUAACCAUUCUGCAUCUUCCGUACUAUCGUUUUCAUCUCCUAUUAUGCAUAACAGCUCUCGAGCUCGCCGAUCUGCGAUACGAGUUGGUUGUACGCGCUGAACUACUUCAACCUUUCUUUGAUUUGAUUUGAAUGAAAAUAAUUUAAAGAUUCAAUAUUAUUUUGAAUAUUCACUUGAAAUUGCUUGUCAUCACUUUUGUACUCUUGCUUGAGAUCGUUCCAAAUAUUAUUGACAUUUCUUGUACGAUCUUGGAUUUUAUAUCCGGAUAACACUUUUUAUAAGUGUUAAAUAAUUUUUGAUCGAGUUCACCUCUUAUCGAUGUCAUUGUUUUCUUAUAUGUAUCUCAACUAUUAAAAUCAGAAUUUCGGCAAUAAAGAGUAUAAAGUAAUUAACUGAAGAGUAUUAUAUUAAGAAGAUGAAAAAACCGUCUGUAUUAUUUCACUGUUAAAUGGCGAAUGAAAGAAUAAAAUAAUAAUAAAUACAUGAGAAACAGUAUUUUCAUAUGUUACUGAAUCGAGAACGCAUUGUACGUGGAAACGUUACUCUCUCAAGUAUUGGAAAAACAAAGAAACCAGUUGUGACGGAUUGCAACGCCGCUAGAGUCGCGCCACAGAGCUAGCGCUCAUGUGAUAAAAUAAUAAACGGCGUACGUCUAUUGAUCGUUUGGGUUUGAUCUCUCUUCAUCUUUGUGUUCCUGUCUCCGACCUUAUUCCCUCCGGUUGAUGGAAUACAAGAGAUACAUACCAGAUAACUGAGAUCGAGAGUAUGAUUUCUUUUGUUGUAAGAGGUGAAAUAAGAAUGCCUUCCAGAAGUAACAUUGUCGGGAUAUUAAGUCACUAGAAAAUGUAGUGAAGGUUGCAGCUCGGAAAAUGCACUCCUUGUUAAAGAGUAAGUAAUUCUUGAACGCAUCCCCUAAGAGUCUCGAUAGUCUUUUAACCUGACUUACUUCGGAAUGCUUCGUCAUAUUCAGUCUCAAGAGUAGACCAAUUUCUGUCAAUCAAAAUUCAAAAUUCAAAAAUCAUUUAAUCACAUGGGUAACACAUUGUACACUUAUGACUUGUCAGUAAAGAAAAACAUAUUAAUGCUCCUAAUUUUCGAUCGAUCGAUCGAUUAUUAAAUAAGCUAGGUUUUCAAGAACCGCUUUUGGAAUUUCAUGACAUCUGGAGAGAAUGAAGUCAUAUAACUGCCUGCUCUUUUCAAUUAAACCAAAAAGCAGAUAAUCGAAACUACAGCUUCUGAACUCUGACAUAAGAUUGCUGCUGAGUCUCUCAGUGAUCUCUUCUGUUUUGGACUUUCCAUAUGACUCUAAAAUAUGAUGAACAUCUGUAUCGUAUGACCUUGAGAAAGCUAUUUUUCUUCCAACACUGACAUCUCUUAAAUGCAAAUCCUUAUACUCUGAGUCAUGUCGAGCCGGUUGAGUGAUGGCGACUUCAGAUCUAAUAUCAACCGAGACCGAUAAUCUGGUUGGUUUCUGUCUAAUGAUAUUGGUUUAUUCACAAUGAGCUAGGUGCAAUCCGGGCAAUUGGGGGGUAUAGCAUAAGUAUCGGACACUCUGUAGCCCUGCCAAGCUAAUUCUGAUAUGUAAUUUUGUAUGAAUAAGAAAAUUUCUUGCAAGAAAA